rnacentral:rRNA from 1 species
UUGCCUCAGUAACGGCGAGUGAAGCGGCAACAGCUCAAAUUUGAAAUCUGGCCUUCGGGUCCGAGUUGUAAUUUGCAGAGGAUGCGUUCGGCGACGCACUGACCGAGUCCCCUGGAAUGGGGCGCCAUAGAGGGUGAGAGCCCCGUAUGGUCGGCUGCUGAACCGGUGUAAUGCUCCUUCGACGAGUCGAGUAGUUUGGGAAUGCUGCUCUAAAUGGGAGGUAAAUUUCUUCUAAAGCUAAAUACCGGCUGGAGACCGAUAGCGCACAAGUAGAGUGAUCGAAAGAUGAAAAGCACUUUGAAAAGAGGGUUAAAAAGCACGUGAAAUUGUUAAAAGGGAAGCGCCUAUUACCAGACUCUGUUCUUGGGGAUCAUCCGUCCUUCUGGGCGGUGCACUCCCUUUGGAUGGGGCCAGCAUCGGUUUUCGCCGGGGGAAAAGGACUCGAGGAAUGUGGCUUUUUUCGAAAAGUGUUAUAGCCUCUUGUUUGAUGCCCCGGUGGGGACCGAGGACCGCGCUUCGGCAUGGAUGCUGGCGUAAUGGUAAUCGGCGACCCGUCUUGAAACACGGACCAAGGAGUCAAGCAUUAGUGCGAGUGUACGGGUGUAAAACCCGCACGCGCAGUGAAAGCGAACGCUGGUGAGAGCUUCGGCGCAUCACCGACCGAUCCUGACGUUCUCUGACGGAUUUGAGUAGGAGCAUUAACGCUUGGACCCGAAAGAUGGUGAACUAUGCCUGAAUAGGGUGAAGCCAGAGGAAACUCUGGUGGAGGCUCGCAGCGGUUCUGACGUGCAAAUCGAUCGUCAAAUUUGGGCAUAGGGGCGAAAGACUAAUCGAACCAUCUAGUA